AGGAUCAACGCUGGCGGCGUGCCUAAUGCAUGCAAGUCGCGCGCGGGCUCCUUCGGGGGUGCUGCGCGGCGGACGGGUGCGUAACACGUGGGCAACCUGCCCUGGGGUGGGGGAUAGCCGUGGGAAACCGCGGGUAAUUCCGCAUACGUUCUGGUCUCGCGUGGAGGUCAGAAGAAAGGGAGCAAUCCCGCCCUUGGAGGGGCCUGCGGCCGAUUAGCUGGACGGUGGGGUAACGGCCUACCGUGGCGAUGAUCGGUAGCUGGUCUGAGAGGACGGCCAGCCACACGGGGACUGAGACACGGCCCCGACUCCUACGGGAGGCAGCAGCAAGGAAUCUUCCGCAAUGGGGGCAACCCUGACGGAGCAACGCCGCGUGGGGGAUGACGCUCUUCGGAGUGUAAACCCCUUUUCUUCGGGAAGAAGGACUUCGGUCUUGACGGUACCGGAGGAAGAAGGACCGGCUAACUACGUGCCAGCAGCCGC
rnacentral:rRNA from 1 species